GAUGAAGAACGCAGCGAAAUGCGAUACUUGGUGUGAAUUGCAAAAUCCCGUGAACCAUCGAGUCUUUGAACGCAAGUUGCGCCUCAAGCCAUUAGGUUGAGGGCACGUCUGCCUGGGCGUCACAUAUCGUUGCCUGAUGCCAGUUUCCUCGUGAUGGGUGACUGUGCAGGGCGAAUGAUGGCUUCCCGUGAGCAUUGUUGCCUCAUGGUUGGUUGAAAAUUGAGUCCUUGGUAGGGAGCGCCGUGAUAGAUGGUGGUUGAGUGACGAACGAGACCCAAUCAUGUGAGACCCCUACCGAAUUUGGCCUUCAUGACCCACAUGCGUCUUUGGAACGCUCAUGACGAGACCUCAGGUCAGGCGGGGCUACCCGCUGAGUUUAAGCAUAUCAAUAAGCGGAGGA
rnacentral:misc_RNA from 1 species